AGGACGAACGCUGGCGGCGUGCUUAACACAUGCAAGUCACGGGGGCCCGCAAGGGCAACCGGCGAACGGGUGCGUAACACGUGAGCAACCUGCCUAGAUGUGGGGGAUAGCCGGCCCAACGGCCGGGUAAUACCGCAUACGGUCACGAGGAGGAGUCUCCUUGUGAAGAAACCUCCGGGGCAUUUAGAGGGGCUCGCGGCCUAUCAGCUAGUUGGCGGGGUAAUGGCCCACCAAGGCUUCGACGGGUAGCUGGUCUGAGAGGACGACCAGUCACACUGGAACUGAGAUACGGUCCAGACACCUACGGGUGGCAGCAGUCGAGAAUUUUUUCUCAAUGGGCGAAAGCCUGAAGGAGCGACGCCGCGUGGAGGAUGAAGGCUUUCGGGUGUAAACUCCUGUCAUUUGAGAACAAGUGCCAACAAGUAACUACUGUUGGCUUGAUAGUAUCAGAAGAGGAAGGACGGCUAACUCUGUGCCAGCAGCCGC
rnacentral:rRNA from 1 species